CACGUAGUUAGCCGUGGCUUAUUCGUCAGGUACCGUCAUUUGCUUCGUCCCUGACAAAAGAAGUUUACAACCCGAAAGCCUUCUUCCUUCACGCGGCGUUGCUGGGUCAGGCUUGCGCCCAUUGCCCAAUAUUCCCCACUGCUGCCUCCCGUAGGAGUCUGGGCCGUGUCUCAGUCCCAAUGUGGCCGGCCAACCUCUCAGUCCGGCUACUGAUCGUCGCCUUGGUGGGCCGUUGCCCCACCAACUAGCUAAUCAGACGCGAGUCCAUCCCAGAGCGAUAAAUCUUUGGCAGUCAGAGCCAUGCGACCCAACUGCAUCAUGCGGUAUUAGCAGCUGUUUCCAGCUGUUAUUCCCCACUCCAGGGCAGGUUACUCACGCGUUACUCACCCGUCCGCCACUAGGUAACCUCAUCCAUUGGACGAAUCCUCUGUCAAAGGCACCCCGUUCGACUUGCAUGUGUUAAGCACGCCGCCAGCGUUCAUCCUGAGCCAGGA
rnacentral:rRNA from 1 species